CUUGUGCCACACAUUGCAUUUUAAUAAACUUAAUUUAAUGAAGCGCUGCAUUCCACAAGUACAGUCAGUACAGUAGCUCUCCUUUGGGAUGGAAAAAUUACAAGAAGCAAUGCCGAGGACCGUGAACUGUAUACAGAAGCCUUGUGGAUCUAGAAACCAACAGUGUGUGAACUUAGGACAUUCUCAAGUUUUAAAACGUGGCCAUUAUAAUAUCAUCACAUUACAUAAAUAUCACAUCACCAAUAUUCGUUUUGUUUUUUUCUUUUAGAACCAAAAAAAAAUGCUUGUAAACUGCAAAAUUACUUUAGAUCACUGCGAUAAAUCUGAAUUAACUACUAGGUACCGUCAGCCCUUCAUAUUUGUGAGUUACACAUCUGUGGAUUCAACCAACCCUGGAUGGAAAAUACUCAGAAAAAAAAAUCAGUACAGAGUAGUGUCUGUACUAAACAGGUACACACUUUUUUUUCUUGUCAUUAUUCACUAAAUACAGUAAUAACAACUAAUUACAUAGCAUUUACAUAUUAAGUAUUAUAUGUUUAGAGAUGAUAUAAAGUAUACUUGAGGAUGUGCAUAGGUUAUUCGCAAAUACUACACCAAGUUAUGUAAGGCGCUUGAGCAUCCAUGAAUUUUGUUAUCAGCAGGGAGUUCUGGAACCAAUCCCCCAUGGAUACCUAGAGACAACUGUAAUUGCAAACUACUUCAGUGAAUAACAGAAGCUAACUAAAAACUUAGUUCUGAAUGAUUGGAUUGUCUGUUGCACUCUACCUACUGAAGCAGAGUGUUUACAUGGCCACAGGUAAUUCAUUCAGUAAUUUCAGGGUAUGACUCAAGAUGCAGUAUUCUUCUCUGCGGCUCUUCGCCUUGGAGCACUUGGAAGAUGCAUUAUCUGCUGAAAAACCAAUGUUCAGUGUGGGCUGAUAUAAUAAAAAUUAAAUACUUUAAAAACUGAAUCAAAAUCAUAGCUAAAAAUCAAUGCUAUAUAGUUUCUAUGACAUGAAAAAUCUGUGAACAAAUCAUUUAUUACAGGUCUUGUUUUAUGUUUCUCUUGUCAAAGAUAAUUAUUUAUUACAAGUGAGGUUUCUGCCAUCAGCAGAGUCAAGGGUAACCUGGAGUGCCUACCUCUUUGAAUUGUGAUACUCAAUCGAGUUUAUCCAUGUUAAGUACUGAGCACAGCACUUGGCCUACAGCAAGAGCUCAAGAAGUAUUUGUGAUUUUAUUAUCGCUAAGUAAAAAUAAAUUUGAGUUUCACUAAGAUUUUUGAAAUUCACAUUUUAUUUGCAUGGCAUAAAACUAGCCUAUUCAACAACUCCCCAUAAUUAAACUUGAAAAGAUCCUGAUUAUUUAUAACAGAAAAUAAUUAUGUCCCUAAUUCAUUUAUUUGCCUUUUUUUUUUCUGGUUGCCUUUGAUUGACUUCUGACCUUAAGCAUGAACAGAAAUGUGUGCUAAAAAGCCUGGUCUUUCCAGUGAAGAGUCAAUCAGUUUGCCAAAUGCUUACUCCAUAAUUUUAAUCUAAUAACAUUUUACUAAUAACAUUUUAUGAACAAGAACUUACUUUCACAUCCAGACAAUAUUUUUAGAAUAAAGCUCAUUGCACCUUAUAAUGUGCUUUAUUUAAUGUCAUCUUCUACCAUGUGCAAGAAGUUUGGGGGAGUAUGGGCUAGUAGAGAUGUUUACAAAGGUCUUGAUUGAAAGACCCACAGGGCUUUGUUAAUUGGUUUUAAAGAUACUUACAAUUUCUCUGCAAAUACAUAGAACAAAGACAAUAAAACGUUAUUUAGUAAGAUAUAAGUCCUAUUGAAUCAGUUGGUACCCACUUUCAUUUAUAGACCCUUCAGAGCUGAAAGGGAUGGGGAAGAGGGUGGAUGAAGAAGGUCUAAUGGAGAAUACACAGAAGAAGCAGAAGCCAUGGCUCCUCUUUUUAACAAUGACAGAGAAAGGAAAACAAUGGACAUAGCAAUAAACAUUUGCUCAUUUAAUUUUAGUCAAGUUAAAUCAAAUGUAAAAAAUGUGUGCCCUAUAAUAAUAAAUGACACAAAAAUACUAAUUAGAUUCAAGAGAGUUGAACUGAAUAACCCUUUAAUCAAUUUAAGUCACACAGUAAGUGUCCUUUUCCCCAGUAUUUCUCAUAAUACUACAUAUUAAUUGCGCUUAUGGUUAUUCAGUCUUAUUAUUUAAUUAUAAAAGCUUAUAGCUUUUACUUUGGGGGCAAAGACAAAGAGAAGAAAGUGUUCUCUAAUCCCUUAAGGAACAAGAAUAUGACAUUUGCCAAUGUGCGUUGUGUUUAUGGAGACUUCUUUCAACUCUGUUCUUAUUUUCAUCCUAUGGAGGCAUCCUGAGGUAAAUGGGCAGUUAUGGACCAUCAAAUGCGAAAUAAAUGUUUUAAUGAGGAAACACAGCUUGCUCGUUCAAAUACAACUUAGGAUUUUCACAAGCUGUUUUCCUUUCUUCUAUUCCUCUUAAAACAACCAUGGGAAAACAUAGCUACAGAGAGGUAACAAAAUACUAUGUAAAUUAUAAUCCUGAUUUUGUAUAAAAAUAAAAGUAUUUAUUGCAUAUCAUAAAUGCAUAGGAAAAAAAAGAUUAGAAAAGUACAGACCAAAAUGUUACCAAUGUUUAUUAUUGUUAACAUUUCGGGUGGGACUGGAAUGAUAAUUAUUCUUAAGUUUUUCUGAAUUUUCUCAAUUCUGCAUAUCAUUGUCCCUGAGGCCCUCCAGAAUCUGGCCUUGUGCUGAUAUGGCAACUAUGGGAAACUUGCUUUAUUUUUUAUAUGCUAAGGAAGGUAAGUGGCUUGACGAUUGCCCGUAAGAACUGUCAAAAGGCCACAGAAACUGCUCAGCACCAGGACACAGAGCUGCAUUGCUUGAUUCUGCAGGCUGCACAUCUAAGACCAGAUGUUGUCCUCAUACAUACCAGCCCUGAGAAAAAAGUUUCUUGGAUUUGUUUUCAAGAAAAACAAGAUAUUGAGCUUUGUUCCCUUGUCAAAGAAUAAGAAACUCUCCUAUUAGCCUUUACAAAUCAAGACAGUCAAACAGAUCUGAGAUAGUAACUCAUAUCUAGGGAUCAACCAAAGUAAUCCCCUAAAGGUAUUAGGAGAAUUUUCCCAGAUAUUUAAGUUUCAUUAAAUGCAAAGUUAGUUCACUGGUACCUACUAUUAAAAGUAACAGAAAAUGGCGAGGUGCAGUGGCUCAUGCCUGUAAUUCCAACAGCUCAGGAGGCUGAGGCAGCAUAGCUUGAGCCCAGGCGUUCGAGACCAGCCUGGGCAACAUAGUGAGACCCUGUCUCUACAAAAAAUAAAAAAAAAAAAAAUAGCUGAGAGUGCUGACACACAUCUGUAGUCCUAGCUACUCAGGAAGUUAAGGGGGAAGGAUCACUUAAGCCCAAGAGUUUGAGGCUGCAGUAAGCCAUGAUUGCACCAUUGCACUAUAGCCUGAGUGACAGAGUAAGACCCUGUCUCAAAAAAAGUAAACAAAAGAAGUCACAGAAAAUGACCACACAUUUACACUUUGUAAAAAUUAAUGCUGCCUAUACAUUUCUGGCAGGCUUGUAGGUUAUUUUUCUCAGGCCUAGAUAUGCUGGGAUAAUACAGGGUCAGCCCCUCCAGAAGGCAGAACACUAGACCAUCGUAUCUAGAAGCCUCAAAAGUCCCAUGACCCUAGUCAGCUUUAAAUGUUGUCUUUUCCCUCAUCUCUCCAUCUAAACAAUCUGCAAGUCCCACUGUCUACCCCUGCUGAACACCGCCAGAACCCAUUCUCCCCUUCCAUGUUCAUUUCUGCAACCUUGGUCCAGGCCAUGAUUAUCUCUCACUUACAUUGCUGCAUCAACCUUGACCUUCACUGGUGUCUCUGACUCCAGACUUUAACCUUCCCAAACCAGUCUUCCUAUUAACUCAGGCCUGAUCAUAACACUUCACAGCAUAAUAUUUUUGCAUGACUUCUAAUUGCCCUCAAAUAAAGUCCUCAUUCCUUGACAGGACCUAGAGGAUCCUUCCCAUUCAGCCCCGUAUUUCACAUAGCAUACUACCCUCAACCCCAACUCUCACUCCCCUAGAAUACCUAGCACCCCAGCCAGGCUAACUACUUGAUCUCUCACCCCUGGCCUUUGCACAUGGGGUUUCUCUGGCUAGAUCACAUAUCCCCUUCUCCCCUUUAUCUGAAUAACCCCACUCAUCCUCCUGGCCUUAGGUUUGAUGUUACCUGCUCUGGAGAAGCAUCCCUGAUCUUCUUGACCCAGUUAGAUAUUCCUUUUCUGGAUCCCAGUGUCUCUGAUAUGAAAUUGCCCAUUUUCUGUCUUCCCUACUAAUCCAUAAGCCCUUUCCAGUCAUGGACUGUGUCUUGGCUCCCCCAACACUUAACAUAUUACCUGACACAUAAAAGGCAUUCAAUAAAUACUGAUUCAGUCAGAAGCAAUAUCAAGUGUUCUUGGUUUGCUGAAGAUAGAGUCUCUAGCCAUCCUCACCCUCCUCGGCAAAGAACCAAUCAAAUCUUUGGGAUUCGAUUGGUUCAACCACAAAACCAUUUCCUAUUCCUCCUCCUUUACCUCUUACAUAAAGAGGGAAAUAAAGGAAAAUGACCAUUGAAGGUUUUGUAUCAAAAUUCCUUUUUGGAAGACUACUUAUAAUUUCCUACUUUAGUCUGUCUGGUCAUGAAGAAGUCUGAACUACACAAAUGCUGUGGCCAUGUCAUGAGACAUAAAAUUAGAGAAAUGAUUCAAAUGCUUUUGGUCCCUUCCUUUAUUUGACUGCUAAUUAGGAAGAGAAUAUUGAGAUGGACAUGACACUGGUUAAUAAAAACCUCAGUUUCCUGAACUGAUGCCAGGUUUAUUCUUUUGAGACUAGAGCAGAUGAUCUACCCACCUUAAAGGUAAUAAAAUAAUCCAAGUGGAUGCCCACUUUGCCUGCAACUUUGCUUGCACUCCAUUCCUAUACCUAUACACUUUGAGAAAAAAGAUAACAGGAUUUUCCCCCCACAGAUAAUUCUUCUGUUUCUACUCCUCAGUUCCUCCAUCCUUAACCCACAAAAGGUUACACCUCUCAGCAACAUCCAUCUGAAGAAUUUAUACUCUAUAUUACAAAUUGUUGAUGGUUAUCACUUACAUAAGUGAUCUUUUCCUGCUGCUUCUUGAAAAGAGAAAGUAGGAUAUUUGCUUUACUAGGUGGAAUAUGUAAGUUUUUUUACAUCAAUUUUUUUGUGCUUUUACACAAACUAGAACAUGGGAGCAAAUGACUUGUUUCUUUGUGCUUUUGCUGCUACUUACUGAGGGAAUUCCUUAAUUACUUCCUUCCUUCCUUCCUUCCUUCCUUCCUUCUCUUUAUCCUAUAUGCACAUGGUAGAAAUUUGGGUUAAUUAAAAGGGAGUUAGAUAUACCUAUUACCCCAAAUAGGACACUCCCAGUGCAUUUGUAUUACAGCGGCUUGCAAAAUAAAUGCUGGGGUUUUUUUCUGCAUGCAGAAAUUAAGCAACAGGAUUAUGUUUCCAGCUAUGUUAACUGCCAGUCUAUAAUUAUCAGGGCAACAUCUCUCCACAGCUCAUCUUCAGCUUAUCAGUCUAGGAGUGCUAAAUGUGCACAUGUGGGACUUUUACUAAGUCAGUACCAUUAUUUUGCUUUCAAAUUAUUUCCUAUUCCUAGAAGUUUAUAUUCAGUCAUUUGAAGACUGUGCAAUUAAAGAAGAUAUCUAACUGAGCUUAAGCUCAUUUAAAGUAACCAAGCACCUUUUACCUCCUCAUCCAUCUUGGACUUCAGUUCCCCACCCCCAGCUAUGUUCAUUCUAACUACUAUGAGAUAAUAUUAUUUGAUGGAGAAGGUGGAGGCAAAAUGGAUUUGUGUAGCUUUAUGGUCCCUUCUCCUGUUAAUGAUCUUCCUCAUUUGUAUUCUUCUCCUUGCUUUUCUCUAUAUUUUUUCAAGCAUUGGUCCAUUCAGAACUUUGGCAUCCUCCAGCACUUUCUAAUGUUUUGUGCCAUUUUUAUAUUUGCCUUGCAUUAUGAUUUUCCUCCAUCUUCUUCUACCAUAUUUCUUUGCUUGAAACCACACCUUCACAUACCAUAAAGGGAAGAGAUUUUUUUUCAGUUGUGUUCCUGCCUCUUCAAAUUCCUCUGUGGUCAUAAAAAAGCCUGUCUUGCCAAAAUGUCACGUAGCUAUAACCUUGCGCCAAAUAGUACAUCUUGUUUCCAAAAGCUGUUUUUUUGGCAGCUGGUAGGAACAUGGAUUAUUCAUAUCUGCAGAAAUCACAAUCCCUGUGGAGGAUUUGAUUCUUCUCCCCCAGGUUGUGGCUGUGAUUGGAAAUAAGGUGUUUCAUUUGGACUUCUACAGGAAGAAGACACCUGGAGGCAGACACAGAAGGAAGAGCGAGGUAUUCAGUAUGCUCCAUGCACUCUAUGUAAUUUUCGGAUACCUAUAUAAAAUGUUUUGGCUUUUAACGCUUAGCAUUUGGGGAAAAAAAUCAUAAAAUGAAAAACCACUUUUAAUUGACUCUUCAAAAAUUACUUUAAAUGUGUUCUAAAACUUGGCUUUAAAAUUUCUUCAUACAGUUUUGACCUAUGUUAAGAGAUACAGGUACUUUAAGAAAGUGUUUCUGGAAAAUUGUAUUUGAGGCAGUUUAUCAGCUGAAGGCACAGCUAAGGCAUCGCUAAGGGAAUCUGUUACCCUGGGAUACUAAUUAACUCCAAAUAUUGCAUAUAAAUUAAGCUAGCAGCUACUGAAAGAAACAGCUUAUGGGAAAGAAAAAACUAAAGAGGUUGGAAAGAAAAGCACUGUCUUUUCUAAUUAGAGAAAAAGACAUCAGGGGUAUGGGAGAAACCCUUUUCUCUCCAUCCCAGCCUUCUAUUCUUUUUCUAGUAGCUUCCAUCCUUUUCUCUUUCCUUGUUUUCCUUUCUCCUUUCUCCACAGCAGGUGUGAUUUAUUGGAUAGCAUGACCAGGGAAAGUGUCUCUUCCUACAGGGGACUGCUCUCCUUGUCUCUUUUGUGUGUGUGUGUGUGUGUGUGUGUGUGUGUUUGUGUGUGUGUGUGUUAAGAACAUUUAAUGUGAGAUCUACCCUCUUAACAAAAAUUUUUGUUUUGUUUUGUUUUUUGUUUUUGUUU
rnacentral:lncRNA from 1 species